rnacentral:rRNA from 1 species
GACGAACGCUGGCGGCAUGCCUAAUACAUGCAAGUCGAGCGAACAGAUGAAGUGCUUGCACUUCUGACGUUAGCGGCGAACGGGUGAGUAACACGUAAGGAAUCUACCUAUAAGCGGGGGAUAACGUUCGGAAACGGGUGCUAAUACCGCAUAAUAUCUUCUUCCGCAUGGAAGAAGAUUGAAAGACGGCUCUGCUGUCACUUAUAGAUGACCUUGCGGUGCAUUAGUUAGGUGGUGGGGUAACGGCCUACCAAGACGAUGAUGCAUAGCCGACCUGAGAGAGUGAUCGGCCACAUUGGGACUGAGCCACGGCCCAAACUCCUACGGGAGGCAGCAGUAGGGAAUCUUCCGCAAUGGGCGAAAGCCUGACGGAGCAAUGCCGCGUGAGUGAAGAAGGCCUUCGGGUCGUAAAACUCUGUUAUAAGAGAAGAACAAAUUGUAGAGUAACUGCUACAGUCUUGACGGUAUCUUAUCAGAAAGCCACGGCUAACUACGUGCCAGCAGCCGCAGUAA